CAUUUUUAUCCUAAAAUUUACAGGCAGCGUAACAGACAGGUAUUUAAAUUCUAAAAUAAAAUGGCUACAGUGAGUUAUACAACGACAUCAGGCGAAGGUUUUGCUCAAGCAACCAACUUCAACCCCAACUACAAUUAUUAUGAUAACUUCGCAGCAACCCAGGCUUAUAACACCGUGGCACCACCUCCGGCUUAUCAACAGCAGCAUAUUACAACAGUACCACAGCCACAGAAUCGCAAUAAUACGACACCUCUAUGUGUCGUGGCGUCCAUCUUAAUCACGUUGGUGACUCUGGGUGUUAUCGGUGGUAUAGCGUACGGGAUUUACGUGGCAGUUGCAGGAACUAAAUCGGUCAUUGACAGUACAUCGUUGGUCAUUACUGGUUUUACAGGUUAACUUGUGAGGGGAUAGGCCGCAGAUUAAAAACGUAGAUAUUUAAAAGUUGUACAAAUCAUGAUUUUUUCCAUGUACAAAGUGCACUAAUUUUCUAUAGUAACAGUUUACGCCAGUAUUUUUUUCCCCAUACACACAGUGUUGGUAUAGUAGAGUGGGAAAAGAUGGGACACCUUUAUUAUUACAUAAUAUCCAAAUGUUUUGAUCGUGUUUUAAAUAUUUUACAACUGUUAAAGAGAGUUCUCAGUAUACUGUUUUACAUUCUUUGAAUGUGCCUUGUUUACCACCAAAUGGAAGAAAAGAAAUAGAAUGAAAAAUUGUCCCAUCUUCCCCCGCCGUACUAUAUAAGAUUGAAAGGUAGUUUUUCCACGUAUUUGUGUAUAUUUUUUUAAUAAAAUUUAUAACAUUUUCUUGUUUAGUGUGACUCCAAGUUGAUUUGUGUAGUUUUCAUUGAAAAAGAUUGAAAGACUUUACAAGAGCAAAAAGACGGGUAGUAACGAAAGUAUGACAGUCGUUAUAUCACGCUUAUAGGUAAAACAGAAACACUAGAACGACUCAUAAAAUGAGUUAAGCUACACCCCACGAACAAUCUAACAAAACACAGAAUAGGAAGUUCGGAUAAGAAAAGUGUCCGUAAAAACAGAGACAACAUUGUUGUAUCGUUUUCCUCUUCACCAAACGCAGUUCUACAACACGUACAUGAAAACUACUGUUUUAGUGAUUACAAUGGUUUGUCAAAAAUUCGUUGCGCAUGGGUACCCUGAAAGUUUUAUAGGGUAUGCACGCAUUCCCCGCAUACCCAUGUUCGAUGCCCAUAGUGGUAGCAUACUUUUUGAUAUUUCUUCAUUUAUCACCUUGAGAAGCUGGCAAAUACCAUGUCACUUUGCUGUUGAUUACCUUCUUUGCAAUAACAACCAAGAAAAGAGAAUCAACAGCAAAAUGACAGUAGAUAAAAGGUAUUGAUAGAAAGUAUGAGAAAAAGGGUGGCUGUUAAACCCAACAUAUGAAAACAAGUUGCAAUGCAAUUAGAAGAAAAGUGUGAGUAAAGACACAACCUGUACAGAACUGAUUUAACCAAAAUAUCAGGUAAUAAUGAAAAAAAAGAUAACUCAAAAAUAAAUUUCUACUAUUAGUUCAACGUUUAACAUAAAAUUAUAAUUUUCUUGUUGCGGUUGUCAUAUGUAGGGAUGUCCAUAGUUCCUCUGUUGCCCAACUCGAAGUACUGUUGCAAAGUGACAAUUUUCCAUAGGUAUUCUGUGUGGCAUGAAAAGGCACUGUUUUGGAAUAAACAUUAAAACAAAUAAGCGUAGGUAUAGGAACACAAUAAAACUCUUUAAUUAAAAAUAAUACUCAAUAUUAUUAUUGUAGGGAAGUAGUUUUUAUUUAACUUAGGAUCACAAAUCAAACUCUUACCUGACCAGUAAACUUAAAAUGAGUAAUAUUGUUAGUGGUGCUGUUUGCUGUAUAUACAUACAAAUGCUAUAACUGCAUAAACUGGACUAAAUAAACUAAUUUUUAACUAUUACUUAAUAUUUCUCAUGUAUAAACGCUGACUUUCUUCAGAUCUGCCUAAAUAUAAACAUAGCCAUAAAGCAGAAGUCUUUUUUUCUAGUUGUUCUAGUUUCUCUCACAGAAAUGUUUUUUUUAAGCAGCACAGUUUACAUAAACGACUGCCUGCUUUUAGAAUUUAGUUGCUACCAUUGUUGCAGUUGAUACUUGAUAGCCCAUCUCUUUUUUUUUCAUAGUUCAAUAAAAAAGCAGAGUCUCACAUUUUAAAUGCUGCUUCCAGUGCAGUUAGUGGAACAUCAUCUAAAGAAAUAAUUCUUGUAGAUACAAAACACCUGUUGCACAUACCUAUGCUAUAGAAUAGAGUAUAGACUAUAGACAGACUUAUAUAAUACGUAUACACAGAAUUCUAAAACACCUGUACAUUGAUCCUAUACACACGGCCUAUGUUACCUCUUCACAGACUUUCGUUACGUCUUCACCAAAAAUCAAUACCAUACAAUAUUCCAGCAAGCACACAAAUUCCGUCUUAAACAGUUUCAAAAUUGCCGUACAUUAUUGAAGGUUUGUCUUUCCCGCCAAUUGCUCUGAUCCAAAAUGGCGACCACGAUUUUUUCAUACAUUGCGUUUUCCAUGGGCUUUCAUAACAUAGAAUAGUUUUAUAAUAAAUAAUCAUAGAACAACUUCCUUUCCUUAAAAUUGACUAGCACUGUGUAACUGUACAACACUAAAUUACUGCGAUUAAAUUGGAUGAUAAACUAAAAUACGCAUCGAAAUAUCACCAAAUAAAUGAACAACAAGAAAAUUUAAACGCAUGCUUAUUUUUUGCAAAACAUAGACAUAAUAACAUAAUAACAUAAUAGUGGGGAGUAAUAACUUAGUGAUUGAUUUCAAAAGGUAUAUACAGUGGCUGUGGCUGUGCUACUCAUUCAAUUUCGAACAAAGAGAUUUAUGUGCUGUGGCUGGUCUGUUCUUGUCAUGUUUCAAUGGAAUGGCGUUUAUUUCAUUGUCUUUCAUCCAAUAAUACCGACAAAAGAAAAGAUGGGAACGAAAGGGGAAUUUCCUUAGACACAACUACACGCCUCUAGUACACACUCUAUACCUGAAGCAACAUUUAGAGAUUUACUGAUUUAGACAUUAAAUUGGUUAUAGGUCUAUAUUACAAUGUCGAUGAAUGCUCCGAGGGUCAUGCCUAGCAGCUACUUUGUAAGCUGGGAAACGUUAAAGAACCCCCAAAAAUAUACAGCGAAAGGUGUGGCGAUUGCAGUUCUGAUUAUCGUGGUGACGUUGGCAGUUCUGGGUGGAUUGGGUUAUGGGAUCUAUGCCGGAGUUACACAUGGAACAUCUAUAAGAAAAGGCUUGUUCACUGAAGCUACAAAUCUCAUUAACCAAGCGACUUGAGAAAAGGAUGUUCGUUCAGCAUAUUGGAAAUUGUCUUUCACUUAUAUCAACACAACUGCAGAUUUGCAAUGUUAAUAAUUUAAAAGCACUUCUUAUACUUUUUUUAAAAACAAUAUUCAUGCUCCGUAUUUAAACUAAAACAGAGGUGUAAAGAAUAGUAAGUUUUG